UGACAUUAGUGUAUCGCCGCGACGUGGCUGCUUCGUUCCUACUGGAUGGAAAAAGUCUGAACACCGGUCUGCCAUUACCCAGCUGUCGUCCAUACCAGCCACACUUACAGUCUGGUCAGGAAUCUGGCCGGAAUCCGUCUUCUCACCAGGAAACGACUUGGCAAGACAGUUGCAGGGGAGGCGUUGAGGUGGGAAACAUUGGACUGCCGACACAACAAACCGACUUGACAUGUACAGUACCUACACACGCAGGUUGUGGGCUGCCGGCUGCAGGUUGCCACGCAUCUCCUGUGAAGUACACGACCAACUUCUCUGACCCGUGAACCUGGCUCUGCGUGCUGCUCUCGGCACCCUGUCUAGUUGUGGCGAAGACAUAAUGUGCUUCGGGCCUAGUCUGGCAACCUGAUGGCGGUGACGCAGUACAUGAACACUGUCCUCUUUGCUGGUCCUUUCUCAUCAGCGGCAACUCCUGAUUGGGUUACUCCUCCGCGGCUCACGCCAUGGUUGUUCUCUCCUGCUGCCACCUCAGUGUGGAUUUUUUUGUACGCCCAUUGGGCCUCGGGUUCAGCUAAAUAAAGUUAGGAAUCCCA